AGUGAACGCUGGCGGUAGGCCUAACACAUGCAAGUCGAACGGCAGCACAAGAGAGCUUGCUCUCUGGGUGGCGAGUGGCGGACGGGUGAGGAAUACAUCGGAAUCUACUCUGUCGUGGGGGAUAACGUAGGGAAACUUACGCUAAUACCGCAUAUGACCUACGGGUGAAAGCCGGGGACCUUCGGGCCUUGCGCGAUUGAAUGAGCCGAUGUCGGAUUAGCUAGUUGGCGGGGUAAAGGCCCACCAAGGCGCAGAUCCGUAGCUGGUCUGGGAGGAUGAUCAGUCACACUGGAACUGAGACACGGUCCAGACUCCUACGGGAGGCAGCAGUGGGGAAUAUUGGACAAUGGGCGCAAGCCUGAUCCAGCCAUACCGCGUGGGUGAAGAAGGCCUUCGGGUUGUAAAGCCCUUUUGUUGGGAAAGAAAUCCAGCUGGCUAAUACCCGGUUGGGAUGACGGUACCCAAAGAAUAAGCACCGGCUAACUUCGUGCCAGCAGCCGCCGUAA
rnacentral:rRNA from 1 species